rnacentral:rRNA from 1 species
UACGUAGGGAGCAAGCGUUGUCCGGAAUCAUUGGGCGUAAAGCGCGUGUAGGUGGCUUCGUAAGUCCGUUGUGAAAGUCAAAGGCUCAACCUUUGAAAGCCGAUGGAUACUGCGGAGCUAGAGUACGGAAGAGGCGAGUGGAAUUCCUGGUGUAGCGGUGGAAUGCGCAGAUAUCAGGAGGAACACCAAUAGCGAAGGCAGCUCGCUGGGACGUUACUGACACUGAGGCGCGAAAGCGUGGGGAGCGAACAGG